rnacentral:rRNA from 1 species
CAGUAGCCGCGGUAAUACGGAGGGUGCAAGCGUUAUCCGGAUUUAUUGGGUUUAAAGGGUCCGUAGGCGGACUUAUAAGUCAGUGGUGAAAGCCUGUCGCUUAACGAUAGAACUGCCAUUGAUACUGUAAGUCUUGAGUAUAUUUGAGGUAGCUGGAAUAAGUAGUGUAGCGGUGAAAUGCAUAGAUAUUACUUAGAACACCAAUUGCGAAGGCAGGUUACCAAGAUAUAACUGACGCUGAGGGACGAAAGCGUGGGUAGCGAACAGGAUUAGAUACCCGGGUAGUCCCUGUCUCUUAUAC